rnacentral:rRNA from 1 species
UACGUAGGGGGCAAGCGUUGUCCGGAUUUACUGGGUGUAAAGGGCGCGUAGGCGGAUUUAUAAGUCGAUGGUGAAAUCCUGCAGCUUAACUGCAGAACUGCCGUCGAUACUGUGGAUCUUGAGUUCGGAAGAGAGUAGCGGAAUUCCAGGUGUAGUAGUGAAAUACGUAGAUAUCUGGAAGAACACCAGUGGCGAAGGCGGCUACUUGGUCCGUAUCUGACGCUGAGGCGCGAAAGCGUGGGGAGCAAACAGG